rnacentral:lncRNA from 1 species
CUGCCACCUCGCAGUUCAAUCUCAGACUGCUGUGCUAGCAGUGGGGAAGGCUCCGUGGGCAUGGAAACUGCCGAGCCAGGCACAGUAGAGAAUCACCUUGUCUGCCGGUUGCUAAGACCUUUGGAAAAGUGCAGUAUUUGGGUGAGAGUGUCCUAUUUUUCCAGGUACAGUCUGUCACGUCUUCCCUUGGCUAGGAAAGGGAAAUCCCCCGACCCCUUACACUUUCCGGGUGAGGCAACGCCCCACUCUGCUUCAGCUCACCCUCCAUGGGCUGCACUCACCUUCCAACCAGUCUCAAUGAGAUGAACCAGGUACCUCAGUUGGAAAUGCAGAAAUCACCCGUCUUCUGCGUCAAUCACGCUGAGAACUGCAGACCAGAGCUGUUCCUAUUUGGCCAUCUUGGAACCGGUCUGAGUCUGUUUUAGCCAGAUCAAGUACUUGCAGACACUUGAAGAAGCAUCUUUCUUGUGAUCUCCUGGCUGGUACCCUGAAGUCCUGUUAUGCCAAUGGACCAGCAACCCUCGCAGGUAGGAAUUACUGCUAGAAAGACUAUCCUCUCUGCAGGCAAAUUUCUGGAAGGAUACUAUUUUAUGGGGAAAAAUGUGAACAACUGUAGGUAAUUUCACAGUCUGUAGGGCUUGUCUCCUAUUUGUAAUUUCUUACAUGUUUACUCGUGGUGGAAAUGUGGAGGUGGCUAAG